GACGAACGCUGGCGGCGCGCCUAACACAUGCAAGUCGAACGAGCGAGAGAGAGCUUGCUUUCUCAAGCGAGUGGCGAACGGGUGAUUAACGCGUGAGGAACCUGCCUCAAAGAGGGGGACAACUGUUGGAAACUACUGCUAAUACCGCAUAAGCCCACCGGUCGGCCUCGACCAGAGGGAAAAUGAGCAAUCCGCUUUGGGAUGGCCUCGCGUCCGAUUAGCUAGUUGGUGAGGUAACGGCCCACCAAGGCAACGAUCGGUAGCCGGACUGAGAGGUUGAACGGCCACAUUGGGAAUGAGACACGGCCCAGACUCCUACGGGAGGAAGCAGUGGGGAAUAUUGCACAAUGGGGGAAACACUGAUGCAGCGACGCCGCGUGGAGGAAGAAGGUCUUCGGAUUGUAAACUCCUGUUGUUGAGGAAGAUAAUGACGGUACUCAACAAGGAAGUGACGGCUAACUACGUG
rnacentral:rRNA from 1 species